CCUACGGGGGGCUGCAGUGGGGAAUAUUGGACAAUGGGCGAAAGCCUGAUCCAGCCAUGCCGCGUGUGUGAAGAAGGCCUUCGGGUUGUAAAGCACUUUCAGUGGGGAAGAAAGCCUUGGGGCUAAUACCCUCGAGGAAGGACAUCACCCACAGAAGAAGCACCGGCUAACUCCGUGCCAGCAGCCGCGGUAAUACGGAGGGUGCGAGCGUUAAUCGGAAUUACUGGGCGUAAAGCGCGCGUAGGCGGUCUGAUAAGCCGGUUGUGAAAGCCCCGGGCUCAACCUGGGAACGGCAUCCGGAACUGUCAGGCUAGAGUGCAAGAGAGGAAGGUAGAAUUCCCGGUGUAGCGGUGAAAUGCGUAGAGAUCGGGAGGAAUACCAGUGGCGAAGGCGGCCUUCUGGACUGACACUGACGCUGAGGUGCGAAAGCGUGGGUAGCAAACAGGAUUAGAUACCCCAGUAGUC
rnacentral:rRNA from 1 species